GUAGGGUGCGAGCGUUGCCCGGAUUUAUUGGGCGUAAAGGGCGCGUAGGCGGCUACGCACGUCCGUUGUGAAAUCGCUCGGCUCAACUGGGCGGGGUCAGCGGAUACGGUGUAGCUGGAGCAAGCUAGGGGGCAAUGGAAUUCCCGGUGUAGUGGUGGAAUGCGUAGAUAUCGGGAGGAACACCAGUGGCGAAGGCGGUUGCCUGGAGCUUUGCUGACGCUGAGGCGCGAAAGCGUGGGGAGCGAUCCGGAUUAGAUACCCGGGUAGUCCACGCCGUAAACGAUGUCGACUAGGUGUCGGGGGUAUCGACCCCCUCGGCGCCGCAGCUAACGCAUUAAGUCGACCGCCUGGGGACUACGGCCGCAAGGCUA
rnacentral:rRNA from 1 species